rnacentral:tRNA from 1 species
GGAGACAUAGCUCAGUUGGUAGAGUGCUUGCUUUGCAUGCACAAGGCUCUGGGUUCAAUCCCCAGCACCACCC